GAUGAACGCUAGCGGCAGGCCUAACACAUGCAAGUCGAGGGGUAACAUAUGGUGCUUGCACUAUGAUGACGACCGGCGCACGGGUGCGUAACGCGUAUACAAUCUACCUCUUACUGAGGGAUAGCCUUUGGAAACGAAGAUUAAUACCUCAUAGUAUCCUGACCUCGCAUGAGCGUCAGGAUUAAAGGUUACGGUAAGAGAUGAGUAUGCGUCCUAUUAGCUAGAUGGUGUGGUAACGGCAUACCAUGGCAACGAUAGGUAGGGGCCCUGAGAGGGGGAUCCCCCACACUGGUACUGAGACACGGACCAGACUCCUACGGGAGGCAGCAGUGAGGAAUAUUGGACAAUGGAGGCAACUCUGAUCCAGCCAUGCCGCGUGCAGGAAGACUGCCCUAUGGGUUGUAAACUGCUUUUAUACAGGAAGAAACCGCUCUACGUGUAGAGCUCUGACGGUACUGUAAGAAUAAGGAUCGGCUAACUCCG
rnacentral:rRNA from 1 species